rnacentral:rRNA from 1 species
ACCCUACGGGAGGCAGCAGUGGGGAAUAUUGCACAAUGGGGGAAACCCUGAUGCAGCGACGCCGCGUGAGUGAGGAAGUAUUUCGGUAUGUAAAGCUCUAUCAGCAGGGAAGAAAAUGACGGUACCUGACUAAGAAGCCCCGGCUAACUACGUGCCAGCAGCCGCGGUAAUACGUAGGGGGCAAGCGUUAUCCGGAUUUACUGGGUGUAAAGGGAGCGUAGACGGUUAAUCAAGUCAGAAGUGAAAACCCAGGGCUCAACCUUGGGACUGCUUUUGAAACUGCGUAGCUAGAGUGCAGGAGAGGG